rnacentral:rRNA from 1 species
GACGAACGCUGGCGGCGUGCCUAAUACAUGCAAGUAGAACGCUGAAGAGAGGAGCUUGCUCUUCUUGGAUGAGUUGCGAACGGGUGAGUAACGCGUAGGUAACCUGCCUUGUAGCGGGGGAUAACUAUUGGAAACGAUAGCUAAUACCGCAUAACAAUGGAUGACACAUGUCAUUUAUUUGAAAGGGGCAAUUGCUCCACUACAAGAUGGACCUGCGUUGUAUUAGCUAGUAGGUGAGGUAAUGGCUCACCUAGGCGACGAUACAUAGCCGACCUGAGAGGGUGAUCGGCCACACUGGGACUGAGACACGGCCCAGACUCCUACGGGAGGCAGCAGUAGGGAAUCUUCGGCAAUGGGGGCAACCCUGACCGAGCGACGCCGCGUGAGUGAAGAAGGUUGUCGGAUCGUAAAGCUCUGUUGUAAGUCAAGAACGGGUGUGAGAGUGGAAAGUUCACACUGUGACGGUAGCUUACCAGAAAGGGACGGCUAACUACGUG